UGUUAAAAAAAUUAUUUAUUUGUAUUGUUAAAAACUGAUGUAACUGAUGGAAUAAUCAGACAGAGACAUGUAGCAUGUCAUGUGUACCUCAUGCUGACGUAUAGAGACUAAUUUUUAAAAGUAGAUAUCGAUGGAUUUUUUAAUA
rfam:Gossypium raimondii Chr01_contig_273, whole genome shotgun sequence.